rnacentral:rRNA from 1 species
UACGUAGGGUGCGAGCGUUGUCCGGAAUUACUGGGCGUAAAGGGCGCGUAGGCGGCCUUCUAAGUCAGACGUGAAAUCCCCCGGCUUAACCUGGGAACUGCGUCUGAUACUGGAAGGCUUGAGGAUGGGAGAGGGAUGUAGAAUUCCAGGUGUAGCGGUGAAAUGCGUAGAUAUCUGGAGGAAUACCGGUGGCGAAGGCGGCAUCCUGGACCAUUACUGACGCUGAGGCGCGAAAGCUAGGGGAGCAAACGGGG